UCCCAACAUAAAUUAUAGCCGGAUAAUACAAACACACAUUUAAAAUUCAAAGAUCUUGGCGGUGUCUUAUGCCAACAGGGGAACCUGUCCCUUAAUUCGAUAAUCCACGAACGACCAACCUUAUCUAGUAAUUACAGCCUGUGUACUGCCGUCGCCAGUAUGCCUUAAAGAGUUAGCAUACAAUAAUACUACCUAUAGACGUCAGGUCAAAGUGCAGCUAAUGAUAAGGCGGAGAUGGGUUACACAUUAUACAAAAACUACCCACAACUACACAUACGGUAGUCCAAAGCUGGACUUGUUAGUAAUUAUCUCAACCUAAAAGUAAUGAAUAGAACUCUAAGACAUGUACACAUCGCCCGUCACUCUCGUCGAAAGAUG
rnacentral:rRNA from 1 species